rnacentral:rRNA from 1 species
GAUGAACGCUGGCGGCGUGCCUAAUACAUGCAAGUCGAGCGAACGGACGAGAAGCUUGCUCCUCUGAUGUUAGCGGCGGACGGGUGAGUAACACGUGGAUAACCUACCUAUAAGACUGGGAUAACUUCGGGAAACCGGAGCUAAUACCGGAUGAUAUUUUGAACCGCAUGGUUCAAAAGCGAAAGACGGUCUUGCUGUCACUUAUAGAUGGAUCCGCGCUGCAUUAGCUAGUUGGUAAGGUAACGGCUUACCAAGGCAACGAUGCAUAGCCGACCUGAGAGGGUGAUCGGCCACACUGGAACUGAGACACGGUCCAGACUCCUACGGGAGGCAGCAGUAGGGAAUCUUCCGCAAUGGGCGAAAGCCUGACGGAGCAACGCCGCGUGAGUGAUGAAGGUCUUCGGAUCGUAAAACUCUGUUAUUAGGGAAGAACAUAUGUGUAAGUAACUGUGCACAUCUUGACGGUACCUAAUCAGAAAGCCACGGCUAACUACGUG